CGCUGGCGGCAGGCCUAACACAUGCAAGUCGAGCGGAUGAGAGGAGCUUGCUCCUGGAUUCAGCGGCGGACGGGUGAGUAAUGCCUAGGAAUCUGCCUGGUAGUGGGGGACAACGUUUCGAAAGGAACGCUAAUACCGCAUACGUCCUACGGGAGAAAGCAGGGGACCUUCGGGCCUUGCGCUAUCAGAUGAGCCUAGGUCGGAUUAGCUAGUUGGUGAGGUAAUGGCUCACCAAGGCGACGAUCCGUAACUGGUCUGAGAGGAUGAUCAGUCACACUGGAACUGAGACACGGUCCAGACUCCUACGGGAGGCAGCAGUGGGGAAUAUUGGACAAUGGGCGAAAGCCUGAUCCAGCCAUGCCGCGUGUGUGAAGAAGGUCUUCGGAUUGUAAAGCACUUUAAGUUGGGAGGAAGGGUUGUAGAUUAAUACUCUGCAAUUU
rnacentral:rRNA from 1 species